rnacentral:SRP_RNA from 1 species
ACUCGUGCCCAUCGCUAUGCUUUUUUUAGUGAAUCAGGCCAGGCGGGGAACUGAGCAACCUUAAAUUAGAAAGUGCAUGUUCGGUGGAUACAUGGGGGAG